rnacentral:rRNA from 1 species
GAUACAUGCAAGUCGAGCGAACAGAUAAGGAGCUUGCUCCUUUGACGUUAGCGGCGGACGGGUGAGUAACACGUGGAUAACCUACCUAUAAGACUGGGAUAACUUCGGGAAACCGGAGCUAAUACCGGAUAAGAUUUUGAACCGCAUGGUUCAAUAGUGAAAGACGGCCUUGCUGUCACUUAUAGAUGGAUCCGCGCCGUAUUAGCUAGUUGGUAAGGUAACGGCUUACCAAGGCAACGAUACGUAGCCGACCUGAGAGGGUGAUCGGCCACACUGGAACUGAGACACGGUCCAGACUCCUACGGGAGGCAGCAGUAGGGAAUCUUCCGCAAUGGGCGAAAGCCUGACGGAGCAACGCCGCGUGAGUGAUGAAGGUCUUCGGAUCGUAAAACUCUGCUAUCAGGGAAGAACAAACGUGUAAGUAACUGUGCACGUCUUGACGGUACCUGAUCAGAAAGCCACGGCUAACUACGUGCCAGCAGCCGCGGUAAUACGUAGGUGGCAAGCGUUAUCCGGAAUUAUUGGGCGUAAAGCGCGCGUAGGCGGUUUUUUAAGUCUGAUGUGAAAGCCCACGGCUCAACCGUGGAGGGUCAUUGGAAACUGGAAAACUUGAGUGCAGAAGAGGAAAGUGGAAUUCCAUGUGUAGCGGUGAAAUGCGCAGAGAUAUGGAGGAACACCAGUGGCGAAGGCGACUUUCUGGUCUGUAACUGACGCUGAUGUGCGAAAGCGUGGGGAUCAAACAGGAUUAGAUACCCUGGUAGUCCACGCCGUAAACGAUGAGUGCUAAGUGUUAGGGGGUUUCCGCCCCUUAGUGCUGCAGCUAACGCAUUAAGCACUCCGCCUGGGGAGUACGA